UGAACCAACACCUGCCUGCCUCACUGACACCUGCCGUGGUGCCAGGGAGUGCCGAGGCCUGUGCUGCCACCACGCUGAGAGAGGGAGAAAGAGAAGAGCAUCAGAGAGGAAUGACCGUGGCAGGAAGGAUGGUGUGUUAGGUGACUGGUUCAGACAGUGACAGUGGACAGAAGAAAUGCUGGAGAAAGAUUAGACCACAGGUGGUUCAUGUUGUAGUUGUUCAAGAUUUGGAAGAAAACAUUUUUUUUUUUUCUAGACAGUGGCAGGCAGACACACAAGAGAGGAUGGUGUGGUGGACAAGAGGAUGCAGGGAGACAGCAGACAGAAUGGAAGCUACAGAUGAAAGAAGAGCAGGUCAAGCCAUGGCAGCAGACACAUAGACAGACAGAUUGGAUAAGAAAGAAGUAUUAUUUAGUGAGACAGGACCACUGGAAGCUGUCAGAGUGCUGUGGCACGUGGCAAGAACCAAGUGUUCAGGAGCACACAAUGUCCCUUCACCAGUCAGCAGGUCUGGGCGGCUUGGAAGUCUCACUACAAACUGAAGACCCGUUCACUUGAAGGACACAGUUGGAGUCGGACACAAGAUCCAAGAGGGAGGAGUCAUUUUUAAACGAGAGCUUCAGGCAGAAAAUUCGAGUGGAUUUUCAACUCUAAAAAUAACUUAAUUUUUUUGGGUAUUUUGAACCUUCUUUAUCUUGAAAAAUAACUCCAGAUAUUAUGACUCUAGCUGGAAGUUGACCUGAGCAAUGUAGGGUUUGCUGCAGUGAGAUUACCAAGGCACGAGUGUCUGGGAUUUAAAGAUGAUGGAUAUGUGUCCUGUGUGCUGCUGUGCUGGGAGGAGAGGAGCAGCAGCAGUCGUGGGGCUCUGCUGCUGCUGUCACUGGUGCAGCUGUUCACUCCUGCAGCCACCUUCCCUCAACAUACUGUGUCUUUCCUCACCUGCAAUGAACAACUAUGAACAAUACUUCUCCUCCGAUGAGGAACAGUGAAUAACCUCUCUCUCUCUCUCUCUCUCUCUCUCUCUCUCUCUCUCUCUCUCUCUCUCUCUCUCUCUCUCUCUCUCUCUCUCUCUCUCUCUCUCUCUCUCUCUCUCUCUCUCUCUCUCUCUCUCUCUCUCUCUCUCUCUCUCUCUCUCUCUCUCUCUCUCUCUCUCUCUCUCUCUCUCUCUCUCUCUCUCUCUCUCUCUCUCUCUCUCUCUCUCUCUCUCUCUCUCUCUCUCUCUCUCUCUCUCUCUCUCUCUCUCUCUCUCUCUCUCCACAGUAUGUCCCCCACAGUAUGUUUACAAACCCACAGUGACUCUCCACAGCCCCUCACCAACAAUUGUCUCCUUCACACACACACACACACACACAAAUGUUGGAAUCUUGUAGUGUCUACAACAAGGAAUGGAACCAAAAUCGACAA